AGUCUGACGGAGCACGCCGCGUGAGUGAUGAAGGUUUUCGGAUCGUAAAGCUCUGUUGUUAGGGAAGAACAAGUACCGUUCGAAUAGGGCGGUACCUUGACGGUACCUAACCAGAAAGCCACGGCUAACUACGUGCCAGCAGCCGCGGUAAUACGUAGGUGGCAAGCGUUGUCCGGAAUUAUUGGGCGUAAAGCGCGCGCAGGUGGUUCCUUAAGUCUGAUGUGAAAGCCCACGGCUCAACCGUGGAGGGUCAUUGGAAACUGGGGAACUUGAGUGCAGAAGAGGAAAGUGGAAUUCCAAGUGUAGCGGUGAAAUGCGUAGAUAUUUGGAGGAACACCAGUGGCGAAGGCGACUUUCUGGUCUGUAACUGACACUGAGGCGCGAAAGCGUGGGGAGCAAACAGGAUUAGAUACCCUGGUAGUCCACGCCGUAAACGAUGAGUGCUAAGUGUUAGGGGGUUUCCGCCCCUUAGUGCUGCAGCUAACGCAUUAAGCACUCCGCCUGGGGAGUACGGUCGCAAGACUGAAACUCAAAGGAAAUUU
rnacentral:rRNA from 1 species